rnacentral:rRNA from 1 species
GAGUUUGAUCCUGGCUCAGAGUGAACGCUGGCGGCGUGCCUAAUACAUGCAAGUCGAACGAUGAAGCUUCUAGCUUGCUAGAAGUGGAUUAGUGGCGCACGGGUGAGUAAUGCAUAGGUAACAUGCCCCUUAGUCUGGGAUAGCCACUGGAAACGGUGAUUAAUACUAGAUACUCCCUACGGGGGAAAGUUUUUCGCUAAGGGAUUGGCCUAUGUCCUAUCAGCUUGUUGGUGAGGUAAUGGCUCACCAAGGCUAUGACGGGUAUCCGGCCUGAGAGGGUGAUCGGACACACUGGAACUGAGACACGGUCCAGACUCCUACGGGAGGCAGCAGUAGGGAAUAUUGCUCAAUGGGGGAAACCCUGAAGCAGCAACGCCGCGUGGAGGAUGAAGGUUUUCGGAUUGUAAACUCCUUUUGUUAGAGAAGAUAAUGACGGUAUCUAACGAAUAAGCACCGGCUAACUCCGUGCCAGCAGCCGCGGUAAUACGGAGGGUGCAAGCGUUACUCGGAAUCACUGGGCGUAAAGAGCGCGUAGGCGGGGUAGUAAGUCAGAUGUGAAAUCCUAUGGCUUAACCAUAGAACUGCAUUUGAAACUACUACUCUAGAGUAUGGGAGAGGUAGGUGGAAUUCUUGGUGUAGGGGUAAAAUCCGUAGAGAUCAAGAGGAAUACUCAUUGCGAAGGCGACCUGCUGGAACAUUACUGACGCUGAUGCGCGAAAGCUGGGGAGCAAACAGGAUUAGAUACCCUGGUAGUCCACGCCCUAAACGAUGAAUGCUAGUUGUUGUGAGGCUUGUCCUUGCAGUAAUGCAGCUAACGCAUUAAGCAUUCCGCCUGGGGAGUACGGUCGCAAGAUUAAAACUCAAAGGAAUAGACGGGGACCCGCACAAGCGGUGGAGCAUGUGGUUUAAUUCGAAGAUACGCGAAGAACCUUACCUAGGCUUGACAUUGAUAGAAUCUGCUAGAGAUAGCGGAGUGCUGGCUUGCCAGAGCUUGAAAACAGGUGCUGCACGGCUGUCGUCAGCUCGUGUCGUGAGAUGUUGGGUUAAGUCCCGCAACGAGCGCAACCCUCGUCCUUAGUUGCUAGCAGUUCGGCUGAGCACUCUAAGGAGACUGCCUUCGUAAGGAGGAGGAAGGUGAGGAUGACGUCAAGUCAUCAUGGCCCUUACGCCUAGGGCUACACACGUGCUACAAUGGGGUGUACAAAGAGAAGCAAUACUGUGAAGUGGAGCCAAUCUCUAAAACAUCUCUCAGUUCGGAUUGUAGUCUGCAACUCGACUACAUGAAGCUGGAAUCGCUAGUAAUCGCAAAUCAGCCAUGUUGCGGUGAAUACGUUCCCGGGUCUUGUACUCACCGCCCGUCACACCAUGGGAGUUGUAUUCGCCUUAAGUCGGAAUACUAAACUAGUUANNNNCCACGGCGGAUGCAGC